UCAAGCGAACAAGGGCGCAGGGCGAAUGCCUUGGCACUGGGAGCCGAUGAAAGACGUGAUAAGCUGCGAUAAGCUUCGGGGAGCUGCAAAUAAGCAUUGAUCCGGAGAUUUCUGAAUGAGGAAACUCACCUGGGUUCAUACUCAGGUACGUUAUACUGAACUUCAAAAUAGGUAUAUCGAGGGAACCGCCUGAACUGAAACAUCUAAGUAGGGCGAGGAAGAGACAUCAAACGAGAUUCCGUAAGUAGUGGCGAGCGAACGCGGAAGAGGGCAAACCGAGAGUAGAAAUACUUUCGGGGUACGGACUGCUUUUAGGACUCAAUCUGUUAACCGAACGGCAUGGGAAGGCCGGUCAGAGAGUGUGAGAACCACGUAGGUGAAAACGGAGAGAGCUGCGCAGAAUCCAGAGUACGGCCAGACACGUGAAACCUGGUCGGAAUACGGGGGGACCACCCUCCAACCCUAAAUACUACCCAGUGACCGAUAGCGUAUAGUACUGUGAAGGAAAGGUGAAAAGCACCCCGGGAGGGGAGUGAAAAAGAACCUGAAACCCUGUGCCUACAAGCACCUAGAGCGCGUCAAUGCGUGAUAGGGUACUUUUUGUAGAACGGUCCGGCGAGCGAUUGUAUGCAGCAAGGUUAAGGACUUAAGGUCUGGAGCCGAAGCGAAAGCGAGUUUGAAAAGGGCGUUAAGUUGCAUAUAAUGGGCCCGAAACCGGGUGACCUACCCAUGGUCAGGUUGAAGUGGAAGUAAAAUUCCAUGGAGGACCGAACCGACCUCCGUUGAAAAGGCGGCGGAUGAACUGUGGGUAGCGGAGAAAUUCCAAUCGAACCCGGAGAUAGCUGGUUCUCCCCGAAAUAGUUUUAGGACUAGCCUCAAGUUAGAUACCUGGAGGUAAAGCACUGAAUAGCCUAGCGGCCGAGAGGUUAGCGAAGCUUAUCAAACUCAGAAUGCCAGAGUAUUGAUGCUUGGGAGUCAGACAGUGUCAGAUAAAUGUCAUUGUCAAAAGGGAAACAGCCCAGAUCUACAGCUAAGGUCCCAAAGUCAGGUUAAGUGGAAAACGAUGUGAAGAUACGUAGACAACCAGGAUGUUGGCUCAGAAGCAGCCACUCAUUCAAAGAGUGCGUAAUAGCUCACUGGUCGAGCGUCUUUGCGCGGAGAAUUUAACGGGGCUAAACCUGACACCGAAGCUUAGGCAGCAUGUUUACAUGCUGGGUAGGGGAGCGUUGUAUACGCGGUGAAACAGUAGCGCAAGCGGCUGUGGAGUGUAUAGAAGUGAGAAUGCCGGAAUGAGUAGCGCGAAUGCAGUGAGAAUCUGCAUGGCCGAAAGCCUCAGGUUUCUGGAGGAAGGUUCGUCCGCUCCAGGUCAGUCGGGAGCUAAGGUGAGGCCUAACGGCGUAGCCGAUGCACAGACGGUAGAGAUUCCGUCACCACCAAAAGAGUUAAACACAGGGACACAUAUGAAGUCUCGGAGCCGGGUGUUGGUUCCGGUAGCGAUCGAGGGAAGUUAGUACCGAAGUCUGAGAUGGAAGAUGGCGAGAAAAGCUGUGUGUAUUUCUGCGGUGCCCGUACCGCAAACCGACACAGGUAGGUAGGAAGAAGAUUCUAAGGCCAACGGGAGAAGGGUUGUUAAGGAACUCGGCAAAUUGACCCCGUAACUUCGGGAGAAGGGGUGCUGCAGCAAUGCAGCCGCAGAGAAUCGGCCCAAGCAACUGUUUACCAAAAACACAGGUUUGUGCUAAAUCGAAAGAUGACGUAUACGAGCUGACGCCUGCCCGGUGCUGGAAGGUUAAGAGGAGAUGUGCAAGCAUUGAAUCGAAGCCCCAGUGAACGGCGGCCGUAACUAUAACGGUCCUAAGGUAGCGAAAUUCCUUGUCAGGUAAG
rnacentral:rRNA from 1 species